rnacentral:rRNA from 1 species
AAUCCAUAGGUUAAUGAGGCGAACCGGGGGAACUGAAACAUCUAAGUACCCCGAGGAAAAGAAAUCAACCGAGAUUCCCCCAGUAGCGGCGAGCGAACGGGGAGGAGCCCAGAGCCUGAAUCAGCAUGUGUGUUAGUGGAAGCGUCUGGAAAGGCGCGCGAUACAGGGUGACAGCCCCGUACACAAAAGCGCAUGUGUUGUGAGCUCGAUGAGUAGGGCGGGACACGUGGUAUCCUGUCUGAAUAUGGGGGGACCAUCCUCCAAGGCUAAAUACUCCUGACUGACCGAUAGUGAACCAGUACCGUGAGGGAAAGGCGAAAAGAACCCCGGCGAGGGGAGUGAAAAAGAACCUGAAACCGUGUACGUACAAGCAGUGGGAGCACAGGUUUACCUGUGUGACUGCGUACCUUUUGUAUAAUGGGUCAGCGACUUAUAUUCUGUAGCAAGGUUAACCGUAUAGGGGAGCCGGAGGGAAACCGAGUCUUAAUUGGGCGUUAAGUUGCAGGGUAUAGACCCGAAACCCGGUGAUCUAGCCAUGGGCAGGUUGAAGGUUGGGUAACACUAACUGGAGGACCGAACCGACUAAUGUUGAAAAAUUAGCGGAUGACCUGUGGCUGGGGGUGAAAGGCCAAUCAAACCGGGAGAUAGCUGGUUCUCCCCGAAAGCUAUUUAGGUAGCGCCUCGUGAACUCAUCUCCGGGGGUAGAGCACUGUUUCGGCUAGGGGGCCAUCCCGGCUUACCAACCCGAUGCAAACUGCGAAUACCGGAGAAUGUUAUCACGGGAGACACACGGCGGGUGCUAACGUCCGUCGUGAAGAGGGAAACAACCCAGACCGCCAGCUAAGGUCCCAAAGUCAUGGUUAAGUGGGAAACGAUGUGGGAAGGCCCAGACAGCCAGGAUGUUGGCUUAGAAGCAGCCAUCAUUUAAAGAAAGCGUAAUAGCUCACUGGUCGAGUCGGCCUGCGCGGAAGAUGUAACGGGGCUAAACCAUGCACCGAAGCUGCGGCAGCGAACGUAUCACCCAAGACAACUUUGCGGAGUUGACGAUUGACGGAGCGAAGCGACGUCAAAGCGUUCAUUAAAGUCGAGUUGGCUUAGGGAUACGUUCGUUGGGUAGGGGAGCGUUCUGUAAGCCAGUGAAGGUGUGUCGUGAGGCAUGCUGGAGGUAUCAGAAGUGCGAAUGCUGACAUAAGUAACGAUAAAGCGGGUGAAAAGCCCGCUCGCCGGAAGACCAAGGGUUCCUGUCCAACGUUAAUCGGGGCAGGGUGAGUCGACCCCUAAGGCGAGGCCGAAAGGCGUAGUCGAUGGGAAACGGGUUAAUAUUCCCGUACUUGGUGUUACUGCGAAGGGGGGACGGAGAAGGCUAUGUUGGCCGGGCGACGGUUGUCCCGGUUUAAGCGUGUAGGUGUGUGUUCCAGGUAAAUCCGGUUCACUUUAACACUGAGGCGUGAUGACGAGGCACUACGGUGCUGAAGCAACAAAUGCCCUGCUUCCAGGAAAAGCCUCUAAGCAUCAGGUAACAUCAAAUCGUACCCCAAACCGACACAGGUGGUCAGGUAGAGAAUACCAAGGCGCUUGAGAGAACUCGGGUGAAGGAACUAGGCAAAAUGGUGCCGUAACUUCGGGAGAAGGCACGCUGACACGUAGGUGAAGUGAUUUACUCAUGGAGCUGAAGUCAGUCGAAGAUACCAGCUGGCUGCAACUGUUUAUUAAAAACACAGCACUGUGCAAACACGAAAGUGGACGUAUACGGUGUGACGCCUGCCCGGUGCCGGAAGGUUAAUUGAUGGGGUCAGCGCAAGCGAAGCUCCUGAUCGAAGCCCCGGUAAACGGCGGCCGUAACUAUAACGGUCCUAAGGUAGCGAAAUUCCUUGUCGGGUAAGUUCCGACCUGCACGAAUGGCGUAAUGAUGGCCAGGCUGUCUCCACCCGAGACUCAGUGAAAUUGAACUCGCUGUGAAGAUGCAGUGUACCCGCGGCAAGACGGAAAGACCCCGUGAACCUUUACUAUAGCUUGACACUGAACAUUGAGCCUUGAUGUGUAG